UUUUGUUAAUCGAAUAAUUCAGAUUUUACUAUUAAUUAUUAAGAAUUAUUAAAUAAUUUAAGUAAAGUUGUAAAGAUUAAUAGUAGGAAGUGAUAAGUUAUUCGUUGAAUUGUAUACCUAUUUAGCUAUUGAAUGAUUUAUUAUUAGAUAAUAGGUUAAAAGAUCUAUUAUAGGUUUACACAUUAGAAUUACUGUUUAAUAAAAUUAGGUUAAAGGUACCUAUUUUUUAUAAGUUUGUUAAAAAUUUUGUUAAUUUAUGAACAUGUUAAUUGAUGUAAUAGCUUACUAUAAUAAUUAGACUAUAAUUUAUUAUUAAAUAAGUAAUUAUAUUAUGUAAAUUAUUUCUAAACACUUUUCCGUCUGUUUAUUAAAAACAUUUCCAAUUAUAAAAUUUAGUUGGUAGUACCUGCCCAGUGUGUUAAUAAAUGGCCGCAGUAUAUUGACUGUGCGAAGGUAGCAUAAUUAAUUGCCUUUUAAUUGGGGGCUUGUUUGAAUGGUUUGACGUGAUAAGUUGUAAUAUUUUAUAUAUUUGUGAAAUUAGUUUUGAGGGUUCAGAAA
rnacentral:rRNA from 1 species